rnacentral:rRNA from 1 species
AGAGAAUACCGAGGGGCGCGAGAUAACUCUCUCUAAGGAACUCGGCAAAAUGGCCCCGUAACUUCGGGAGAAGGGGUGCCACCGCAAGGUGGUCGCAGUGAAGAGGCCCAGGCGACUGUUUACCAAAAACACAGGUCUCCGCUAAGUCGCAAGACGAUGUAUGGGGGCUGACGCCUGCCCAGUGCCGGAAGGUUAAGGAAGCUGGUCAGCGUAAGCGAAGCUGGCGACUGAAGCCCCGUGAACGGCGGCCGUAACUAUAACGGUCCUAAGGUAGCGAAAUUCCUUGUCGGGUAAGUUCCGACCCGCACGAAAGGCGUAACGAUCUGGGCGCUGUCUCGGAGAGAGGCUCGGCGAAAUAGAAUUGUCUGUGAAGAUGCGGACUACGUGCACCCGGACAGAAAGACCCUAUGAAGCUUUACUGUAGCUUGGUAUUGUGCCCGGGCUCUGAAUGCGCAGGAUAGGUGGGAGGCUUUGAUCCAUUGCUUGUGGGUGAUGGUGAGCCAACGGUGAGAUACCACUCUUUCAGAGCUAGGGUUCUAACGGUCACCCGUCAUCCGGGGACCGGACAGUAUCAGGUGGGCAGUUUGACUGGGGCGGUCGCCUCCUAAAGGUAACGGAGGCGCGCAAAGGUUCCCUCAGGCUGGUUGGAAAUCAGCCGACGAGUGUAAAGGCAGAAGGGAGCUUGACUGUGAGACCUACAAGUCGAACAGGGACGAAAGUCGGCCUUAGUGAUCCGACGGUUCUGAGUGGAAGGGCCGUCGCUCAACGGAUAAAAGUUACUCUAGGAUAACAGGCUGAUCUCCCCCAAGAGUUCACAUCGACGGGGAGGUUUGGCACCUCGAUGUCGGCUCAUCGCAACCUGGGGCUGAAGUCGGUCCCAAGGGUUGGGCUGUUCGCCCAUUAAAGCGGUACACGAGCUGGGUUCAGAACGUCGUGAGACAGUUCGGUCCAUAUCCGGUGCAUGCGCAGGAAUAUUGAGAGGAUUUCUCCCUAGUACGAGAGGACCGGGAGGAACGCACCUCUGGUGUGCCAGUUAUCGUGCCAACGGUAAACGCUGGGUAGCCAUGUGCGGAGAGGAUAACCGCUGAAACAUCUAAGUGGGAAGCCCACCUCAAGAUGAGUAUUCCCAUGGCGUUAGCCAGUAAGGUCACGGGAAGAACACCCGUUGAUAGGCUCUACGUGGAAGCCGGGUAACCGGCGAAGCGGAGGAGUACUAAUAGACCGAGGGCUUGACC